GUGAGGAAUAUUGGUCAAUGGGCGCAAGCCUGAACCAGCCAUGCCGCGUGCAGGAUGACUGCCCUAUGGGUUGUAAACUGCUUUUAUACGGGAAGAAACCCCUCCACGUGUGGAGGAUUGACGGUACCGUAAGAAUAAGGAUCGGCUAACUCCGUGCCAGCAGCCGCGGUAAUACGGAGGAUCCAAGCGUUAUCCGGAAUCAUUGGGUUUAAAGGGUCCGUAGGCGGGUCUGUAAGUCAGUGGUGAAAUCUCCCGGCUCAACCGGGAAACUGCCAUUGAUACUGCAGAUCUUGAAUGUUUGUGAAGUAACUAGAAUAUGUAGUGUAGCGGUGAAAUGCUUAGAUAUUACAUGGAAUACCGAUUGCGAAGGCAGGUUACUAACAAAUGAUUGACGCUGAUGGACGAAAGCGUGGGGAGCGAACAGGAUUAGAAACCCCUGUAGUCC
rnacentral:rRNA from 1 species